rnacentral:ncRNA from 2 species
GUCAUCUCAUGGGGGUGCCCGGCAAUAGUGGUUCGGGCUGAGAGGCGGCUGGCCAACUCCUUGAACCUGAUCCGGCUUGUACCGGCGGAGGGAUUUGAGAUGAUGACAUUC